rnacentral:rRNA from 1 species
GUCUCUUUGUUAAUUGUAAAUAGAGAGUUGGGCCUGCUCGGUGAAUAAAUUGUUUUAACAGCUGCGGUAUUUUAACUGUACUAAGGUAGCAUAAUAAUUUGCCUUAUAAUUUGAGGCUAGAAUGAAUGGUUUGACGAAGGUUAAUCUGUCUCUACUUUAUUUUUUAGAAUUUAAUUUUCAUAGUGAAAAAGCUUGAAUUUUUUAAAGGGACGAGAAGACCCUAUUGAGCUUAUAAUUUUAUUACUGAUUCAUUAGAAUAUAAAAGAAAAGUAUAUAAAUUUUAAUUGGGGUGAUUAAGGAAUAAAGAUGAUUAGUAACUUCCUUAUAAAAGAUAUUGUUGAAUAAAGUAACCAAUAUAAUAUUGCUUAUAAUAUAGUUACCAUAGGGAUAACAGCGUAAUUUGUUUAGAGAGUUCUUAUUGAAAAACAAGAUUGCGACCUCGAUGUUGGAUUAAAGUAACCUUAAGGUGCAGAAGCUUUAUUAGGUAAAUCUGUUCGAUUUUUAAAACUUUACAUGAUC